AUUGAACGCUGGCGGCAGGCCUAACACAUGCAAGUCGAGCGAGCGGCGGACGGGUGAGUAAUGUAUGGGGACUGCCCGAUAGAGGGGGAUACCUACUGGAAACGGUAGCUAAUACCGCAUCCUAUCGGAUAACCCAUAUGGGAUUAGCUAGUAGGUGAGGUAAGGGCUCACCUAGGCGACGAUCCCUAGCUGGUCGGAGAGGAGGAUCAGGGACACUGGGACGUAGACACGGCCCAGACCCCUACGGAGGGAGCAGGGGGGAAUAUUGAACAAUGGGCGCAAGCCUGAGGCAGCCAGGCCGCGUGUAUGAAGAAGGCCCGAGGGUUGUAAAGUACUUUCAGUCGGGAGGCGUUACCGACAGAAGAAGCACCGGCUAACUCCGUGCCAGCAGCCGCGGUAAUAC
rnacentral:rRNA from 1 species